AGCCCGAGUAAACGGCGGCCGUAACUAUAACGGUCCUAAGGUAGCGAAAUUCCUUGUCGGUUAAAUACCGACCUGCAUGAAUGGCGUAACGAGAUGGGAGCUGUCUCAACCAGAGAUUCAGUGAAAUUGUAGUGGAGGUGAAAAUUCCUCCUACCCGCGGCAAGACGGAAAGACCCCGUGGA
rnacentral:rRNA from 1 species